UAAAGAUAUAUGUCUAAUUUUUGUAAAAUAAACAGUAAAUUUAGCAAAAGUACUCCUAGCAUUCUUCUCAAAUGUAAUACUAUUUUUGAAAAUAUGUAAAUAUUUUGAGAUAAUGUUAUACAGGUACAGCACCUGUACAACAUUAAAUAUUAUUUAAUCAUGUAAUUUCACUCUAGCCUGGGCAAAUAGUGAGACCUUGUCUCAACAAAUAAUAAAUAAAUAAAAUAAAUAAAAAUAAAUAUUGUACUAUUAAGAUUUUAGUUUGCUUUAGAAGUCCACUUAAAAAACAACUAAACAGUGUACAGGCAUACCUCGUUUUAUCGCGCUUCACUUUUCUCGGCAGAUACUGCAUUAAACAUAACUUUUAUAUACGCUGGGAAAUAAAAAAUUUCAUGCGACUUGCUCUAUUGUGAUACUCUAUUGCAGUGGUCUGGAACCAAACCUACAAUAUCACCAAAGUAUGCCUGUAAUUAUAUCUUUGGCUUAAAUGCUUGCUAAAUGAAUAAGACCAAAGGACAUAGGUAAGAUUUUCACAUCCAGCUAUGGCAGACUACUUUAUAUCAGAACAACUUCAUAAAAAUAACCAGAAAAGCUAGUUUUAAAAAAUGAGUUUUAAAAAUGGUUUAAAAGCUACCAAGGAAGUGAGUACUUGAGGCCAGGUUCUGGAGAUGGGGAAAUUUAGAGAUUUUAACCCAACAUGUGGUACCACGUUUCUCCUU
rnacentral:lncRNA from 1 species